AAAGACCGGACCGCUACGAUCCACCCCCUCCCUGCCCCCACCGCCCAUCCUAAAGCACCUUAUAUCGCGGAAACCACUCAGCCUCCUCUUUCCUCCGAGAACACGCGGAGCAGCCCCUCAAAACGCUUUGGUCCUCUGCAGGGGGAGCGCUCUGGGGUCUCCGCACAAAACCUGCUUUUGAGCCCUUUGGCUUUCUUCAGGCGAGCGCAGUCCGUCCAUCCCCCUGGCCCACCCAGCCGCAAGGGAUGCUGUGAAAAGAGCCGCUGCUUGCCGCCUCCGGCCUGCCGUCCAGAGGGCUCCGCCCGUAGAGGUCAACUCCCCUCACUCUUCUUCUUUCCAUCUUGCCCUCCCUCCGCCGAGCCCAGACUCGGAUCUCCUCCUGACUCCCGCCGCAGUCAGAGAGAGCGCGUCUGCUGCGCUGCCCUUAAAUCUACGCCCAGAGCGGGCUCAGACCCGAUCUCUGCUCUCCAGAGCCGGAGGAAGCCCGAGCAAGCAGCCUUUUCUCUUCGCAGUAAAAUCAUAGCCAGACCAGAUGGGCCCCAGCUCUCCCGGGACUCGGCAGGCUUAUAUGGAGUAAAAUAAUGUAUAAUGCUGUAUGACCUCAGCACCGUGAAUUUGGAAGUUCCAGCAUGUUGUGAAGCAGACACAUCUUUGCUAUGGACACUGUGACUCA
rnacentral:lncRNA from 1 species